rnacentral:lncRNA from 1 species
AGGUGGGGCAGGGGUGAUUUGGGUGGAUGGAUAGGAGGGCUUCCGACCUGCGUUAGGCGGGUCAGUUAAUCUUCAGUAACUCCUUGAUGCGUUUGAUAGUCCUCCCAACUUAAGCCUUCCUUACUGCCUCCAGGAGAUACAGUCUUCUGUUCUUUUUGUCAUAGUUGUUUAUUUUUCAUGAAUCGCUGUUUUUGAGCAUAGGGCACUUACCUCUUUCUGUGUCCCCAGCCCUACCACAGUGCCAGGCUCUCAAUAUGCUCGAUAAAUAUUAGGCGAUUGAUUUGUAAAUCGUGUAUCAUUUUCAUGUAUCUAAUACUUUUUUAAAAAUUGAUUAAAGCCCAUAAGCCCAUAUUUUAUUCCAGAUGUCCUUAGUUUUCGACCUGGUAUUCUUUUCCAUUCCAGGAUCCUGUCCGGAGUACAUCACCAUGUCUUCCAGGCUCCUCUGGACCGUGACCGUUUCUCAAACUUUCCUUGUUUUUGAUAACCUUAAUAGUUUUGAAGCGACUUAUUGGUCAUUUGGUCAAAUGUCCUUCAAUUGGGUUUUGCCUGUAUUUUUCUCAUGCAUUAACUGAGGUUAUGGGUUUUUCUUGAGUUAAGAGAAUCAGCUGCUUCCCCAAAAAGCCAAGGGUACUUUUAAUGGAAAAUGAUAUUAGAAAUCAAGAUUUGGACAUUUGGGAUGUUGUUGCUUCUAGACACUCUCAGCUGACAGAGCAAGGAAAUAUUUGUGGAUAUGCUAACCUGACUAAAUACGCAUAUCUGCUCCAUACCUACCUAACAUCUAUCUUCUCAAGAACUCUGCCAGGGAAGGAGUAGUUUCUGUGUUUCAUAAACAGACUGAGACUCAAAGAGGCUAAGUAAACUACCUGAAGCCAUAUAUAGCAACACACAAUGACGGAUGUGAGAUUCAAACUUGGAUUUAUCUGGCUCCAAAAUUUCUAGUUUUUUUUUUUUUUUUUUUCCCACUACAGCAAAACUAAGGAGAAGAGACAGAGAAAACACUAGAUCUGAAUAACAAAGGAUGCAUACUUAAGCAAACUAAGGCAUAUAUAGUUAUCACUAAAUGCUCAACCUGGAAAGAAUACUGGAUUGCAGUCUGCUUUUUCUGUAAAGACAAUAGUAUUAUAAAACCGAAAGAGACAACAGGGAAUAUUUCCCACUCAACUAAGCAUAUCUAAAAGCACAUUUGAAGUUUGGAGACAAUAUUCUGUGUUAUUUUAAGAAAAGAUUCUAUAGCAUUAUUACCUGGUGGUAAGAAAAUAACAUGUAAAAGAAAAGGUAAUAAGAAUAAAAAAAAUAAGUAAAA